CACGUAGUUAGCCGGGGCUUCUUAGUCAGGUACCGUCAUUAUCUUUCCUGCUGAUAGAGCUUUACAUACCGAGAUACUUCUUCACUCACGCGGCGUCGCUGCAUCAGGGUUUCCCCCAUUGUGCAAUAUUCCCCACUGCUGCCUCCCGUAGGAGUCUGGGCCGUGUCUCAGUCCCAAUGUGGCCGUCCACCCUCUCAGGCCGGCUACUGAUCGUCGCUUUGGUGGGCCGUUACCCCGCCAACUGGCUAAUCAGACGCGGAUCCAUCGUAUACCACCGGAGUUUUUCACACCGCUCCAUGCGGAGCUGUGCGCUCAUGCGGUAUUAGCACCUAUUCUAAGUGUUAUCCCCCGGUAUACGGCAGGUUAUCCACGCGUUACUCACCCGUCGCCACUAACUCAUAAAUCACUAGGUUUCAGUAUGAGUCCGUUGACUUGCAUGUGUUAGGCACGCCGCCAGCGUUCAUCCUGAGCCAGGAUCAAACUCU
rnacentral:rRNA from 1 species